rnacentral:lncRNA from 1 species
ACAAAAAUAAAAAUAGAUAAAGAUUCUUAGGCAUUGUAGUAUGGAACCAAUUAGUUUUAGUUCUCAACUCAAUUUUAGGACUGAGCUCUCGAGUAAAGGCUGUAGUAGCAGCCAAAAAAAAUUUGUAAUGGAGAUGGUGGGUUUACCAGCAACUUGAUGAUUAGAAAUCCAUGACCUCCAUUCAUCAACAAUCUUAUAUCAAAGAGAUCUAGUCCAUGUCUGAAUUCAAGCAAAAGGCACACACAUAUCAUGGUUUCCACCACAGGUCAUUUGCGGUGUUAGAAAAUUUCAUUUUGUGGAAGAGAAUCACAGCUGAUUGAAAUUAAAAAAUGAUAUUAGAAGAAGUUAGUUAAAUUACAUAUCUAUUAUAUUUGAAAAAGGCAAUUACCAAGUUGUGCUCCAAGACACACUUGAAUGGUCAAGAUAUAACAACUUUAGUUUGCUGAUCCCUCAUUGCGCACCUUUAAAAGCCUCAGAAUGAGAUCAUUAUUCCGCGAUAAAUGUACUACCAAUUCUUUGGUAGCAUCAUCAGCAGAGAACCCCUUAUCAACCAUUUCAUUGAUUAAUUCUGAUGCUUUUGGUAAAUCCUCAUGCCUGAGAAACCCUUGAAUGAUGAUAUUAUAACAACAAUUAUUUGGUAAACAUCCUACCUUUUCCAUGUCUUUAAAUACCUUAUACGCUUCAUCCAUUAAUCCUUGUUGGCAGAGUCCUUUCAUGAUUGCAUUAUAUACAUAAACAUCAGGUUGUAAACCAAUUUCAAAAAGACUAUAAAAAAGAUCCUUGGCAUCAUUAAUCUUCCCAACUUUGCACAUACCAUUGAUCAGACUGCUAUAGAUCACAAAAUUAGGCUUCAACUGACUUUUCUCCAUUGCUUUCAAUAGGGUGAGUGCCUCAUCGAGAUUCCCCUGUCUACACAAGCCAUCAAUCAUAAUUGAGAAGGUUACUAUAUUUGGCUGUUGACCAUGAGAGCACAUAUCCUUAAAGAGCACUUUUGCAGUUUGGGGCCUCCCUGCUUGAAACAUAGCCUUUAUAAGAGUAUGAUAGGUAACAGCAUCAGGAACUAAACCUUUAUGAGACAUUUCAUCAAAAAUCUGCUUUGCAUCAUCUAUCAUUUUGCACUUACAAUAUCCAUUGAUCAAAAUGUUGUAGCUAAAAACGUCAGCUAUUUCAUUGGUCACCAUCAGAUCAAAUAGCUUUCUAGCCUUAUCAAUUUGGCUGCCUAGACAAUAUCCAUGCAUCAAUGAACUAUAAGUGACAACGUUAGGUUCCACACCUCUUUGAUUCAUUAUCUUGAUUAUAUUCUGUGCAUUUGAAACCAGUCCUUUCUUACAAAGAGUGUCGAUCAAUAUAUUGAAGGUAAAAACAUUAGGGGAUAUGUUCCUCCCCACCAUUUCUUUCAACAAGGCCAAAGCUUCCUUGAAUUGGUCUGAAAUGCAAAGACCAUCAAUUAAGGAUGUGUAUGUGAUCGCAUCAGGCUCUACACCUCUUUGAAUCAUUACAUUGAAUGUAUUUUGAGCCUCUGAAACCAUUCCAUCCUUACAAAGAGCAUCAAUCAAUACAUUGAAGGUAUAAACAUUUGGUAAUAUGUUCUGCUCCACCAUUUCAUUCAUCAAGGCCAGAGCUUGGUUCUUUUGGCCUAAUUUGCAAACACCGUGAAUUAAACCAGUGUAAGUGAUGACAUCAGGUGAAAUGCCCUUAUUCCUCAUUUGAGAGAAGAGCUCUAAAGCCUCACCAACUAGCUCAUCCUUGCAAAGGGCGUCAAUGAUUGCACUGUAUGUCACAACAUCUGGCUCACAACCUCUAUCAGCCAUUCCCUUUAGUAGCCCAAUAGCCAUAUUUGUUUUCCCAAAUUUACACAUUCCGUUUAUUAUCACAUUGAAAGUACGAACAUCAGGUUGAUAACCACGUGCAACCAUAUCAUCGAAAAAUUCCAUUGCUUUGUCGAUUUUACUCUCUAUACAAAGCCCAUUAAUUAAGGUAGUAAAUGUCACAGUGGUAGGCUCCAAUCCGAAUUUGAGCAUCUUACCAAAAACAGAGAAGCCAAAAUCCACAAGGUGUAAAUGGCAGAAGCAAUUAAUUAAGAUGCUAAGAGAAUAAACAUCGUGUGAGAUUCCUAGCAAUUCAAUUGUUUUGGACAUGGAAAAGACAGUGUGAUAUUGUUUCAUUUUCACAAGGGCAGAUAAGAAUCUGUUAAAUGGAACCCUAGAAGGCAGAGGAUGCUUAUGAAUUACAUGAUUGAAGGAAGCAAUGGCAUCAUCAAGGUGGGUAAAAGAAGCAGAUUUGAAAUUAUUUGUCAAGAAGCGUGCAUCUUCAAGUGUGGAAGUAGAAGAAUGGCAAUAAUUGGUAAAUAAGAAUAGGAAUGGAGAUUGAAUGGUACCAAUUGCCCCUUGUAGCUGAAGAUGGAAGCUCCAGCUCUUCCUCCUCCAAGACAUCUUCAUCAUCAUCGAUCUCUCGCCAGUUGUUUUUAGGGAUGGAUGGGAGAUUGGGAAUGAGGAAAGGAAAUAGAGAAUCGGAAAAGAAAGCCUCUCUGCCUGCUGGCAAAGGAAAUGCAUUACUCGUUGUAAUUUUUUAUUAAAUUUUCAUAUAAAAAUAUUAUUUAAUAACAAAUUAAAUUUAUAUAAUAAUAAUUUAUCAUUGCUAAAGUGCUAUUGGCUAUUGCCUAUUUGUAGACACUGUGUAUGUUAAUUAUAUACAUAUAUAUAUUAAUUCUAUAUUAUCUUUUAUAUAUAAUAUUGGGUAUCUAAUUAAAGGCGGUUACAUAAAUAGUUAAUUUUAUUUUUAAUAUUGAUUAAAAUUUCAUGAAAAAUCUAAUUGAUUUUUAGUUUAUAUAAUUUUUUAUUAUUAAUGACUUUUUUAGUGUAAUAAAAUGAAUUUUUUUUACCAAGCUUUACUCUUAUAAGAAUUGUUUAACGUAUUUUUUAUUUGAAUAAUAUUACAAUUUUAAUUAAUAUAAUAAAAAAUUAAUAUAUAAAAUUAUUUUAAUAUAAUAAAAUUUUGAAAUGCUCAAACUCACUACAUAUAUUUCGCAUUUUCAAUUUUAUUUGUUAUUACUAUUAAAAUUUUGAAACUAAUUAUAAAAAUAUGAAAUUAUUAAAAAUUUAAAUACUUUAAAAUCCAUUCUUUAUAUUAUUUUUAUAAAAUAGUAUAGAGUACUAAUACUUUUAUUUUUAUAUCUAUUUAUUAUAAUAUUUUAAAAAAAUAAUUCUUAUGCCGAUUUAAUAUUUUUAUCAAUUGUUUCGUUGUUAAAAAUUAUUAGCAUGAAUUAUUUAUUAUGAGAAAGUUUUAGCCACACAGUCAAAGAUAAUCAUUAUAAAAUUAAUACUUUUACCCUCUUGUUGGAAUUAAAAAUUUUAUAAAAAUUUAAUUCAAUUGAAUUUUUUUCUUAUAAAAUUUUUAUUUAAAAUAAAAGAAUUCAAAAUUUUUUAAAUUAAAAAUUUUUUCUCAUAUAUAAAAAUUAUAAAUAAUUUUAUAAAAAUUCAUUUAAAUUUUUUUAUUGUAAAAUUAUUUAUACUAAACAAAUGGUUAAUGAUUUUUUAAGUAGAAAGUUUUGAAUUUUAGUUAGUUCAAUGUAUUAAAUUACAAUAAAGUUUAAUUUCAAUUUAAAUUGAAAAUUAAUAUAGUUAAUUAAUUAAAUAUUUUUAAAUAGCAAUAAAAUACAAUAACCUUAUAAUUAUUAAAUGUAGUUUUGGCAAUUUAAAUAAUAACAGCUUCUUAAUUAUUUAUAUUUAAAUUAUCAUUUUUAUAUUUUAAAUUCUAGCACUAUCAUUUAUAGUCAUGUAUAAAAUAAACUCAAGGAUAUAAUAUUAAAAAAAAAAACUAAAAUGCUUCAAGUAUAUAAUAUAAAGAAAAAAAAAUCUAAAAUGCUCCCAAUCUCCAAUGUCACGAUAUUUAUAAUUAAUAAUUUAUGUUAGUUUAAAAAUAUGUCAUAAGAGAGACAACAAAAUAAAUAUGUCAUAACAUGUUUGACUCUAGUGCACUCUAUUGAGAAAUAAAAUUUGCACACCUAAAAAUAUUUUGCUUUAGAGUCAAAAAAUCGAAAACUCUUGGAUCCCGGUAUCUAAAGGCAACAAUCGAUGUGGUAUUUCUCGAAAACAGAAGUUAAUAAAAAAUGAAAAUAAUAUAAAGAGAAUUUAAGCACAUAAUCUCACAAUUUGAAUAAAACCUAAAUUUGAAUUAACUUUCAACUGAAAAGAAUUGUUUAGCCUCUAAGGGACAUGAUAAAAUUAUCAAAACUAAAGAGAAGAAGAAGGGGGCGGCAAGGAGGUGGCCGAAUUUGAGAGGGGACAAGAAAAAAAGAAAAAUAUAAUACCUAGAUUAAUUUGUGGAUAGCCUUUAUAUAGGUUUUUCCCCAAUAAAAUAAUAAAUAUUCACAAUUUAAAAUAAACUCUUACUUCUAUUUUAUUCAUAUACUAAUCUGAUUGUGUUUGCUCCAAUUUAAGUUGAUCUUAUUCUUGUACAGCUGAAAAAAUUGGGCUGAAAAAAUUGAGCUGAAAUUGCAUUUGUUGAAAUUGGAGCUGUCUAUCGCUCUAAGGCUGUAAUCCUCAAUUCAAAAAUCUUUUGAUUAAGCCUCUUCUCGUUCAUUUUCUUAACUUCGCUAAAAGAUUUGUACAAAAUCAAAUUUCAAGUAAAAAAUUAAUUAUUUAUAUUAAAAUCAUAGUAAAAUCAUGAAAUUUAAUAACAAAAAAAGUGGUUAGUUCUGCGACUCAUCGAACUUAUAAUUAUUAAAUAUAGUUUUGGCAAUCGAAACAAUAAUAGCUUAUUAUUUAAACUUAUAUCUUAAAUUCUAAAACUACCAUUUAUGGACAUAUUGAUUCUAAGCGAUGCAUUUUAGUGAGAAAUAAGGUCUCGAUACCCAAAGGUAUUUGGCUUUAGGGCCGAAAGAUCGAAAACUCUUAGAUCUCGGCAUCCAAAAUGCUAAAUGAGUGUCGAAACCUUAAAAUUUCGGCCUCGAGGCUAAUAUCAACACGAGGUCUCAGCCUUAGAAUUGAAACCAAACGUGACAACCAUGGAGCCGAAGGCUUCGGCCUACUAGGCCGAAAUUCAAAUAGACGACGUUGUUCAAAUCACGUAAAAGUCAUACGAAAAUUAGGACUCUAAAUCACAUACGAUAAAAAAUGUUCUCAAAGUAAAAUUCUACAAUUUAGGACUAAAAUAGAUUUCAGAAAAGAAUUCUAGUUCUACCAAGAAUCAACCAGCUUUAGACCUAUAAAAAAGACACCCAUGUAUGUUAAACACUCUUUUAAUCAAACUAUUCUCCAUACCUUUUAUUUUGAAAUUUCUGAUUAAAUCACUUAUUGACCUAAGUAUCACAAAAGUUAUCCACAACCAACCAUCCCAUUUUUAUUUAUUUUGUAAAUUUAUAUCCGACAUUAUAUCUGCUGAGAAGAUCAGAAUACUAUCACUAAAAAGUAUUAUUGAUAUUAAUCACAAUACAUUUUACAUAUAUUUUAGGACAAAUCUAUACAUGGAUUUACUUGAAUUUAUAUUUUAUUAAGUAUAAAAUCAAUCUUUAUUCAUAUUAUUUACAUAAAAGCAGAAACAUGGUAAAAUCAAGACUUUUUAUUUUUUAAAAAAUAAAUAAUUUUAAAUUUUGUAUAUUAAAUUAAAUUUUAACAGAUUUAUCAAAUGAAUAUAAAACGUUGGAUAUAAAACUUAAAAAAAAAAAGUGUUUCUCUAACAUAUUUUAAGAGAGCAAUUAUUAAAAGUGUAAAAUAAAUUGAUAAUAAUUAAUAAUAUUUGCUAUAAGGUUAAUAGAAAAAUUUAAAUAAAGUUAUAUAAAUAUUUGUUAUUAUAUUUUUUUUAUAACAACUCCCUUUAUUAUUGAGAAAAAACUCAAAUUUGAUUCGAAAUCCUAUACUAUCUCUUACUGCAUUAGAGUUAUUUAUUUUAUUUUAUUAGUUUCAUAAAUUAUUUUGCUUUUUUUUAAAAAAAUCAUUAGUUUUUCCCUAUUAUAAAUUAAAUGUAUAAUUUUUUUUCUCAGUAAAAAAUUAAAUUUUUAAUUUUUAUUUUACAAUAUAUAGACAAACAAUCCUAUUUGUUGUCUAUGUGACUUCUCUUACCUGAAUUAAAUAUUUUAAAAAAAAAUUUAUCAUAUAGGGUAGGGAGAUAUUUAUAGGCCUUUAUAAUUUUAAUGGCAAAUAUUUAAAAAAAAAAAAAUUAUUUCACACAGAAAAGCUACAUAUAGAUACCUAGCCGGAGAUUCACUGGAUUAUAAUGAAAGUUGCUGUUUAAAAUUCAAAUAGGAAGAUGAAGAUGAGUGAUAUUUAUGAAAUAAAAUUAAGUGACCACGGGUAAAAAUUAACUGUGUACGCUAAAAUGCAUUUCUCAUACUCUAAGUGGCCAACUUCCUAACUUAUUUUGACAUCAACUUUAUCAACUUUAUCUCCUAAUAGAUUUAAAAAAACUUAUUGAAUUAAUAAAAACUAGAUAUAUAUUUAUAGCUCUAAACUUUAUUAAAAAUUUUUUAUAACAUCUUAAAUUUUUAUAGCAUCCUAGGUCACACUUGAAUUAUUCAAAAUGUAAUUAAAAUGACCUUCUAAUCUUAGUAUAAAAUAGUAUGUAAUAUCAAAUUGUUAUCUAAUUUCACCUUUAAUAAUUACUUAAUAAUAAUAAAAUUAUACACAAUGCAUAAAUUUUAAAAUUAAAAUUCACCAUAUAUAUUUUAUAUUAAAAAAUAAAUCUUCUUACUAAAUUAAAAUUGAUUUAUAAACACCGUAAAAGAUUCAUGGUAUAUUAAGAUUGUGAGACUAUUUUAACUUUACUUCCUUUUUAGAGUUUAAAGUAAUAUAAAUAUAUGCCAUUAAAAUAUAUGAUCUGACGUGACAUUGCAUAUAAUAGUUUAUCAAUAAUUAACAAUUAUUACUUCUUGUUUUAUGAUAUACAUUAAAACGAUAUACAUAUAUAAUAUAGAUAAAAAAAUUUUUACUCAAUUGAGUAUUUUUAUAUAUUUUACUUAUAAUUUAGAUGUUAUGUCAUUUAAUUUAUUAUUAAAUAUUAAAAAUUAUUAACGACUAUUUUUUUUGAUAGUUGGUUGUUAGAAGUUUCAUCAUUAAAAUUUUUUAAUAAAAAUAUCAUAUAUUAGUUAUUAAUACUAAUUACAACAAUUCGAUCGUAAUAACUAUAAAUUUAUCUUUUAUUAAUAAUAAUUAAUGGGGUGAUAAAAAAAUUUUAAUAACAACAAUAAAAGUUGUUGUUAUAAUUUAAAUAAAAAAUUAUUACUUUCUUUUAUAAUAAAUUUAAAAUAUAAUAAUAAUUAAAAAUAAUUAAAUAAAUAAUAUUUUCAAUAAAAAUGUAAAAUUCAAUUUAUACUAUUAUAAAUUAAUUUACAAUGAUCUAUAAAAAUGAUCUAUAAAUCAUAUUAUUUAUUAAUUUAUAGUAAUUUUAGAUGAUAUCUCUUUUUUUGUUUUUAUAUAAAAUUUAAAAUAUAUAUAUAUUUCCACUUUAAUAAAUUACAUUAUUAAACAUUAUAUACGUGUCAUGAGAAAAGUUAAAGGGUACAUUUGUUAUCAUUGUUAUUUCUUUUUUUUUUUNNNNNNNNNNNNNNNNNNNNNNNNNNNNNNNNNNNNNNNNNNNNNNNNNNNNNNNNNNNNNNNNNNNNNNNNNNNNNNNNNNNNNNNNNNNNNNNNNNNNNNNNNNNNNNNNNNNNNNNNNNNNNNNNNNNNNNNNNNNNNNNNNNNNNNNNNNNNNNNNNNNNNNNNNNNNNNNNNNNNNNNNNNNNNNNNNNNNNNNNNNNNNNNNNNNNNNNNNNNNNNNNNNNNNNNNNNNNNNNNNNNNNNNNNNNNNNNNNNNNNNNNNNNNNNNNNNNNNNNNNNNNNNNNNNNNNNNNNNNNNNNNNNNNNNNNNNNNNNNNNNNNNNNNNNNNNNNNNNNNNNNNNNNNNNNNNNNNNNNNNNNNNNNNNNNNNNNNNNNNNNNNNNNNNNNNNNNNNNNNNNNNNNNNNNNNNNNNNNNNNNNNNNNNNNNNNNNNNNNNNNNNNNNNNNNNNNNNNNNNNNNNNNNNNNNNNNNNNNNNNNNNNNNNNNNNNNNNNNNNNNNNNNNNNNNNNNNNNNNNNNNNNNNNNNNNNNNNNNNNNNNNNNNNNNNNNNNNNNNNNNNNNNNNNNNNNNNNNNNNNNNNNNNNNNNNNNNNNNNNNNNNNNNNNNNNNNNNNNNNNNNNNNNNNNNNNNNNNNNNNNNNNNNNNNNNNNNNNNNNNNNNNNNNNNNNNNNNNNNNNNNNNNNNNNNNNNNNNNNNNNNNNNNNNNNNNNNNNNNNNNNNNNNNNNNNNNNNNNNNNNNNNNNNNNNNNNNNNNNNNNNNNNNNNNNNNNNNNNNNNNNNNNNNNNNNNNNNNNNNNNNNNNNNNNNNNNNNNNNNNNNNNNNNNNNNNNNNNNNNNNNNNNNNNNNNNNNNNNNNNNNNNNNNNNNNNNNNNNNNNNNNNNNNNNNNNNNNNNNNNNNNNNNNNNNNNNNNNNNNNNNNNNNNNNNNNNNNNNNNNNNNNNNNNNNNNNNNNNNNNNNNNNNNNNNNNNNNNNNNNNNNNNNNNNNNNNNNNNNNNNNNNNNNNNNNNNNAAAGCAAUUAAGGAUCUAUAUAUAUAUAUAUAUACCCAACUUGAUGACUAGAAAAAAAAAAAAAAGGUGACAAAGACGAUGUUUGCUUUUCCCUCAAUUCCCAUAACAUUUUCUGUUGUCUAUAAUUUUAGUGACAUUUCAUCCAACCAACAGCUGUAGAAGUCUAGUGAUUCUCUUACCUUGUACUCUGGGACUGUAUAUCCUGCACCCUGCAUUUACAGUGUAGUCUAAUUUUUAAAUCAAUUCUCAAUUAAAGCACACUGGUUUAUAAUCAUUACUUUCAUUAUUAUUAAAAAUAUAAUAAUUAAGAAAAAAAGAACUGCCUAUACCUUUAUUGUUAGAAAGGUGAAGUUGUAAUCAUAUCCUUGCAAGUACCUACAAGAGAAAUGAUAGCAUUUUAAAAAGUCAUUGAGCACAAAAACAAAAAUAGAUAAAGAUUCUUAAGCAUUGUAGUAUGGAACCAAUUAGUUUUAGUUCUCAACUCAAUUUUAGGACUGAGCUCUCGAGUUAAGGCUGUAGUAGCAGCCAAAAAAAAAUUGUAAAGCAGAUGGUGGGUUUACCAGCAACUUGAUCAUUAGAAAUCCAUGACCUCCAUUCAUCAACAAUCUUAUAUCAAAGAGAUCAAGUCCAUGUCUGAAUUCAAGCGAAAGGCACACACAUAUCAUGGUUUCCACCACAGGUAAUUUGCAGUGUUAGAAAUUUUCAUUUUGUGGAAGAGAAUCACAGCAGUUUGAAAUUAAAAAUGAUAUUUGAAGAAGGUAGUUAAAUUACAUAUCUAUUAUAUUUGAAAAAGGUAAUUACCAAGUUGCGCUCCAAGACACACUUGAAUGGUCAAGAUAUAACAAAUUUAGUUUGCUGAUCCCUCAUUGCGCACCUUUAAAAGCCUCAGAAUGAGAUCAUUAUUCCGCGAUAAAUGUACUACCAAUUCUGUGGUAGCAUCAUCAGCAGAGAACCCCUUAUCAACCAUUUCGUUGAUUAGUUCUGAUGCUUUUGGUAAAUCCUUAUGCUUGAGAAACCCUUGAAUGAUGAUAUUAUAACACCAAUUAUUCGGUAAACAUCCUCCCUUUUCCAUGUCUCUAAAAAUCUUAUAUGCUUCGUCUAUUAAUCCUUCUCGGCAGAGUCCUUUCAUAAUUGCACAAUAUAUAUGAACAUUAGGUUGUAAACCAUUUUCAAAAAGACUAGAAAACAGUUCCUUGGCAUCAUUAAUCUUGCCAGCUUUGCACAUACCAUUGAUCAGAAUGCAAUAGGUCACAAGAUUAGGCUUCAACUGACUUUCCUCCAUUUCUUUCAAUAGGGUGAGUGCUUCAUCGAGAUUCCCCUGUCUACACAAGCCAUCAAUCAUAAUUGAGAAGGUUACUAUAUUUGGCUGUUGACCAUGAGAGCACAUAUUCUUAAAGAGCUCUUGUGCAGUUUGGGGCCUCCCUGCUUGAAACAUACCCUCUAUAAGAGUAGAAUAAGUAACAACAUUAGGAACUAAACCUUUAUCAGACAUUUCAUCAAAAAGUUCCUUUGCAUCAUCUAUCAUUUUGCACUUACAAUAUCCAUUGAUCAAAAUGCUGUAGCUAAAAAAGUCAGCUAUUUCAUUGGUCACCAUCAGAUCAAAUAGCUUUCUAGCCUUAUCAAUUUGCUUGCACAGACAAUAUCCAUCCAUCAAUGAAUUAUAAUUGACAACAUUAGGUUCCACACCUCUUUGAAUCAUUAUCUUGAUUAUAUUCUGUGCAUUUGAAACCAAUCCUUUCUUACAAAGAGUGUCGAUCAAUAUAUUGAAGGUAAAAACAUUAGGGGAUAUGUUCCUCCCCAUCAUUUCUUUCAACAAGGCCAAAGCUUCCUUGAAUUGGUCUGAAAUGCAAAGACCAUCAAUUAAGGAAGUGUAUGUGAUCACAUCAGGCUCUACACCUCUUUGAAUCAUUACAUUGAAUGUAUUUUGAGCCUCUGAAACCAUUCCAUCCUUACAAAGAGCAUCGAUCAAUACACUGAAGGUAUAAACAUUUGGUAAUAUGUUCUGCUCCACCAUUUCAUUCAUCAAGGCCAAAGCUUGGUUCUUUUGGCCUAAUUUGCAAACACCGUGAAGUAAACUAUUGUAAGUGAUGACAUCAGGUGAAAUGCCCUUAUUCCUCAUUUGAGAGAAGAGCUCUAAAGCCUCACCAACUAGCUCAUCCUUGCAAAGGGCGUCAAUGAUUGCACUGUAUGUGACAACAUUUGGCUCACAAUCUCCAUCAGCCAUUCCCUUUAGUAGCCCAAUAGCCACACUUGUUUUCCCAAAUUUACACAUUCCGUUUAUUAUCACACUGUAAGUACGAACAUUAGGUUGAUAACCACGUGCAACCAUAUCAUCGAAAAAUUCCACUGCUUUGUCGAUUUUACUCUCCAUACAAAGCCCAUUAAUUAAGGUAGUAAAUGUCACAGUGGUAGGCUCCAAUCCAAAUUUUAGCAUCUUACCAAAAACAGAGAAGCCAAAAUCCACAAGGUGUAAGUGGCAGAAGCAAUUAAUUAAGAUACUAAGAGAAUAAACAUCGUGUGAGAUUCCUAGCAAUUCAAUUGUUUUGGACAUGGAGUAGACAGUGUGAUAUUGUUUCAUUUUCACAAGGGCAGAUAAGAAUCUACUAAAUUGAGCCCUAGAAGGAAGAGGAUGCAUAUGAAUUACAUGAUUAAAGGAAGCAAUGGCAUCAUCAAGGCGGGUAAAAGAAGCAGAUUUGAAGUUAUUUGUCAAGAAGCGUGCAUCUUCAAGUGUGGAAGUAGAAGAAUGGCAAUAAUUGGUAAAUGAGAAUAGGAAUGGAGAUUGAAUGGUACCAAUUGCCCCUUGUAGCUGAAGAUGGAAGCUCCUGCUCUUCCUCCUCCAAGGCAUCUUCAUCAUCAUCGAUCUCUCGUCAGUUGUUUUUAGGGAUGGAUCGGAGAUUGGGAAUGAGGAAAGGAAAUAGAGAAUCGGAAAAGGAAGGCUCUCUGCCAGCUGGUAAAGUGGUAAGGAUAAAAAGGAAAUUGGGAAAGGAAAUGCAUUACUAGUUGUUUAUAUGCAGCACAUUUUGUAAUUUUUUUUUAAUUAAUUUUUCAUAUAAAAAUAUUAUUUAAUAACAAAUUAAAUUAAUUAUUUUAUAUUAUUAUAAUAUUAAAUUAUUAUAACUGUACCUUAUAACAGUGUAGAGCGGGGAUGGGUUAUGGUUUCUGGGAAGUCGAUAGAGAAGGAUGAUGGAAAAGUGGUUAAACUGCAUAAACAGUACACAGGAUAUUAAAUUAUUAUAAUAUUAAUUUUAAUUAUUAAAUAUUUUACAUUUUAAUCUCUAUAAUAUUAAAAAUUUAUUAAUUAAAGUUUCAAUUUUAUAAAAGUAUUUAUUAAUUAUUUCAUCCAUAUUGAAAAUAUUUUAAUUUUUUUAAGUAAAAUUUACUAUUUAAUUUUUAUAAUAUAAAAAACACAUUAAUUACUUCUUUUAUUUUGAAAAAUAUAUCAAAAUAUUUUUAAAAUAUUAAAAAUAUAUUAAUUAGUCCUCCCAUUAAUUUUAUUUAUUAAAUAUUUUACUAUUUAAUUUAUGUAGUAAGAGAAAAUUUAUUAGUUAAUCUCUUAAUUUUAUAAAAAUAUUUACUAAUUAAUUUUUUCAUAUUAAAACAUUUCAAAAAUCAUGAAGGGAUAUUGAAUAUAUCCUAAAUUAGUCGUUAUUUUUUAUCAUUAAAACUAUAUUUGUUAUGGUGUAAUAUUUUUUAUAAAAUAUUUUUUAUAAAACAAAAUAAAGUCUUAAUUUUUAUAUUAACUUUAAUUCAAGGAUUUGGUGUCAAACGAAUAUAUAUAUAUAUAUAUAUAUAUAUCAGUGCAAUAUUAUUUUGCCAGCAAUUCUCAUAAGAAAUAAAAAUCAAUGCAUAAAUAGAAAAAAUAAAACUAGAAAAAAAGAAGUAUAUAAAUGGGAGAUAUAAUUGGUAAAAUUACUGAGAAUUUGCCAUGAAGAGUCCAAAAAAUUACUUUAAAAUAUAAAAGAGUGAAUUAUUUUUGGUUCUUAUAUUUUAUCAAAAUUGACUAUUUAAUUUUUUAUUUCUAUGUUAUUCAAUUAAAAUAAAUUUUUAUAUUAUUUAUUUAUUUUAAUUAUACAUAUAUAAUUUAGUUGUUCUAAUCAAAUCUAAAAAUAUAUUUAUUAAUAUUUUAAUUGAUAAGAAUAUCAAAGGGUUUGACUUUAUAAAACAACCGAAAUAACUUUUUUUGCGUAACUUAACUAACAUCUCAAACAGUACAUCCAAUCACCUUGGCACAAAAUAAAGAAUCUAAAAGGGAAGAAUAUAUAUAUAUACCUUCCACAAGCAUUUCUAAAAUUCAAAUUUUCAUGUUAAAAAAUUGAUUUCAUUGGAAAAGAUUGUGAACUUCAUAUUAUUAGAUGUUAAUGCAAUGAUUUCACUGAUUUGAUUUGAAGGAAAAUAAAAGAAAUUAAGCAACUUCAUGACUAGACAAAAAAAGGUGACAAAGACCCUCUAGUGAUUCUCUUACCUUAAACUCUAGGAUGGUAUAUCAUGCAUCUUGCAUUUAUAAUGUAGUCUAAUUGUUAAAUUAAUUCUCAAUUAAAGCACAGUGAUUUAUAAUCAUUAUUUUCAUUAUUAUUAAAAAUAUAAUAAUUAAGCAAAAAAGAAUUGCUUAUACCUUUAUUGUUAGAAAGGUGAAAUUGUAAUCAUAUUCUUGCAAAGUACCUACAAGAGAAAUGAUAGCAUUUUAAAAGGUCACUGAGCACAAAAAUAAAAAUAGAUAAAAAUUCUUAAGCAUUGUAGUAUGGAACCAAUUAAUUUUAGUUCUCAACUCAUUUUUAGGACUGAGCUCUAGAGGUAAGGCUGUAGUAGCAGCAAAAAAAAAAUUAUAAAGGAGAUGGUGGGUUUAGCAGCAACUUGAUCGUUAGAAAUCCAUGACCUCCAUUCAUGAACAAUCUUAUAUCAAAGAGAUCAAGUGUAUGUCUGAAUUCAAGCGAAAGGCACACACAUAUCAUGGUUUCCACUACAGGUCAUUUGCGGUGUUAGAAAUUUUCAAUUUGUGGAAGAAAAUCACAGCUGAUUGAAAUUAAAAAUUGAUAUUUGAAGAAGUUAGUUAAAUUACAUAUCUAUUAUAUUUGAAAUAGAUAAUUACCAAGUUGCGCUCCAAGACACACUUAAUGGUCAAGAUAUAACAACUUUUGCUAAUCCCUCGUUGCUUGCUUUUGGUAAAUCUUCAUGCUUGAGAAACCCUUGAAUGAUGAUAUUAUAACAACAAUUAUUCGGUAAACAUCCUCCUAUUCCAUGUCUCUAAAAAUCUUAUAUAAAAAUCUUAUAUGCUUCGUCUAUUAAUUCUUAAAUUCCAAGCACUAUUAACAGUGUAAGUCUAUGAGUUUCUAUUUAAUAGAAUCUGCCCAUUCAUUGCUUACAUAAAAUUUUCGAACCUCUUCCCAGGCUCCUUCCAUAGUGGAAUCCAAUGGAUUAGGAAGCCUCCACAUACCAUCCCUCCAAACCUUCCUCACCUUAGCAUGUCUAUGAUGUCAGAAUAUCCCAUAUUCAACUCAGAGGCCUCUCAACAAGACUUUUCCCACCCAUGCAAGGGUCAUACCAAAAUGAAAAACCCCUCUUCCCAACUUAUAUGCAUAAUGCUUUCUAAAAUAAUCUCUAAUUUUCAUCAGAUUCUUUCAAGAUCAACUAGCAUUACAAGGUUUAGAGAUCCCCAAAAACUGAGGCUUUUCAACUUAUUCCUCACCAUGUACCCUACCAGCAUAGGAUAAUUAUUUAGCAGACCAUGAGUCAAUUCUACUAGUUAAUAUACUAAUAAGCUUCUGACAAUGCUCUUUUUUAAUACUAGUAGAUACCAGAGGUAAUCCCAAAUAGAUAACAGGAAGAAAUCCCUCCCUGAAAUUGAGGAAUUGUAGAAUUUGCUGCUUCAUCUCCUCAAGCACUCUUGCAAGAUAAACACAGCUCUUAGACUCAUUUACUUGCAAUCCUAAAACCUCCUCAACUUCAAGGCCUCUCCAAGCCCACAGACCAAAUUCCUAGCCCCAUGACAAAACAAAAACAAAUCAUCUACAAAGCAAAGUGACUCAAUGUUGCUUCUUUACACCCUUUACGAAAUUUGAACCAGAUUUUCAAUUGCAAUUUCGUUUGCAAUUUUUAUUUAACCGAUCCAAAAUAAUUACAAACAUCACAAAACCAACCUAUUAAAUGCAUAAUAUAACACAAAUCAACCACAAAUCUAAUGUAUUCAAUUAUAAUAAAAAGAAAAGUCUUUUGAACUUAAAAUUGAACACAAAUAAUCUAGUAAAACCACAAAAAAUGUAUAAUUAAAAGCAUGUUUUUGUAGUAAAUGCCAAAAUAAAUAGUACCCCAAAAUGUAUACAACAAGUAAUCAACAAAAAUCCUCGAUUUGCUCAUCUAAUCCAUCUUCAUCUCAGGCAUGCGGGAAAAGACCCGGUGGACUGGUGGAAGAGAUACUGCACCACGCUCAAUCUCUGAUGUACCUGUUGCAAAAACUCAAAUUAAUACUUAAACUCAACAAGUAGGUGUUAAAACUUGCACUCAAGGAGUAAGUAUUAACUCUAGAUCAAGUUAUAAGUAUUAACUCAAGGAGCAACAAAUAGAAAUUAUUUUGAGCAUAAACUUACUACAAGUAAUAAACUAGCAAUAAAUAGACAUCAUUUUGGAAGCAUAAACUAAUUACAAGUAAUGCAUGUAUAUGAUAAACUAGUAGGUGUUAAAUUCUAAUGGACGGAAACAGGCAUGAGUAGCUUUGGUAAAAUGAUACAGAAAGCAGGUGUUAACACCUGCUAGUUCACUGAUUUAACACCUGCAUUCUUACUAGUAAAAAUCAAAAUACAUGAUAAAAUCUCCAAGUUAUUGUCCUAAUGCAGCAUGUUUACUGAAAAAUGAUAGCAUCUUAAAAGGUCAUUGAGCACAAAAGUAAAAUAGAUAAAGAUUCUUAAGCAUUGUAGCAUGGAAUCAAUUAGUUUUAGUUCUCAACUCAUUUUUAGGAUUGAGCUCUCGAGUUAAGGCUAUAGUAGCAGCCCAAAAAAAAUUGUAAGGAAUAUGGUGGGUUUACCAGCAACUUGAUCAUUAGAAAUCCAUGACCUCCAUUCAUCAACAAUCUUAUAUCAAAGAGAUCAAGUCCAUGUCUGAAUUCAAGCGAAAGGCACACACAUAUCAUGGUUUCCACCACAGGUAAUUUGCAGUGUUAGAAAUUUUCAUUUUGUGGAAGAGAAUCACAGCAAUUUGAAAUUAAAAAUGAUAUUUGAAGAAGGUAGUUAAAUUACAUAUCUAUUAUAUUUGAAAAAGGUAAUUACCAAGUUGCGCUCCAAGACACACUUGAAUGGUCAAGAUAUAACAAAUUUAGUUUGCUGAUCCCUCAUUGCGCACCUUUAAAAGCCUCAGAAUGAGAUCAUUAUUCCGCGAUAAAUGUACUACCAAUUCUGUGGUAGCAUCAUCAGCAGAGAACCCCUUAUCAACCAUUUCGUAUAUUAGUUCUGAUGCUUUUGGUAAAUCCUCAUGCCUGAGAAACCCUUGAAUGAUGAUAUUAUAACAACAAUUAUUUGGUAAACAUCCUACCUUUUCCAUGUCUUUAAAUACGUUAUACGCUUCAUCAAUCAAUCCUUGUUGGCAGAGUCCUUUCAUAAUUGCAUAAUAUACAUAAACAUCAGGUUGUAAACCAAUUUCAAAAAGACUAUAAAAAAGUUCCUUGGCAUCAUUAAUCUUCCCAACUUUGCACAUACCAUUGAUCAGACUGCUAUAGAUCACAACAUUAGGUUUCAACUGACUUUUCUCCAUUGCUUUCAACAGUGUGAGUGCCUCAUCGAGAUUCCCCUGUCUACACAAGCCAUCAAUCAUAAUUGAGAAGGUUACUAUAUUUGGUUGUUGACCAUGAGAGCACAUAUCCUUAAAGAGCUCUUUUGCAUUUUGGGGCCUCCCUGCUUGAAAUAUACCCUCUAUAAGCGUAGAAUAAGUAACAACAUCAGGAACUAAACCUUUAUGAGACAUUUCAACAAAAAUAUCCUUUGCAUCAUCUAUCAUUUUGCACUUACAAUAUCCAUUGAUCAAAAUGCUGUAGCUAAAAAUGUCAGCUAUUUCAUUGGUCACCAUCAGAUCAAAUAGCUUUCUAGCCUUAUCAAUUUGCUUGCACAGACAAUAUCCAUCCAUCAAUGAAUUAUAAUUGACAACAUCAGGUUCCACACCUCUUUGAAUCAUUAUCUUGAUUAUAUUCUGUGCAUUUGAAACCAGUCCUUUCUUACAAAGAGUGUCAAUCAAUAUAUUGAAGGUAAAAACAUCAGGGGAUAUGUUCCUCCCCACCAUUUCUUUCAACAAGGCCAAAGCUUCCUUGAAUUGGUCUGAAAUGCAAAGACCAUCAAUUAAGGAAUUGUAGGUGACCACAUCAGGCUCUACACCUCUUUGAACCAUUACAUUGAAUGUAUUUUGAGCCUCUGAAACCAUUCCAUCCUUACAAAGAGCAUCGAUCAAUACAUUGAAGGUAUAAACAUUUGGUAAUAUGUUUUGCUCCACCAUUUCAUUCAUCAAGGCCAAAGCUUGGUUCUUUUGGCCUAAUUUGCAAACACCAUGAAUUAAACUAUUGUAAGUGAUGACAUUAGGUGAAAUGCCCUUAUUCCUCAUUUGAGAGAAGAGCUCUAAAGCCUCACUAACUAGCUCAUCCUUGCAAAGAGCGUCAAUGAUUGCAUUGUAUGUCACAACAUUUGGCUCACAACCUCUAUCAGCCAUUCCCUUUAGUAGCCCAAUAGCCACAUUUGUUUUCCCAAAUUUACACAUUCCGUUUACUAUCACAUUGAAAGUACGAACAUCAGGUUGAUAACCACGUGCAACCAUAUAAUCGAAAAAUUCCACCGCUUUAUCGAUUUUACGCUCCAUACAAAGCCCAUUAAUUAAGGUAUUAAAUGUCACAGUGGUAGGCUCCAAUCCGAAUUUGAGCAUCUUACCAAAAACAGAGAAGCCAAAAUCCACAAGGUGCAAGUGGCAGAAACAAUUAAUUAAGAUGCUAAGAGAAUAAACAUCGUGUGAGAUUCCUAGCAAUUCAAUUGUUUUGGGCAUGGAAAAGACAGUGUGAUAUUGUUUCAUUUUCACAAGGGCAGAUAAGAAUCUACUAAAUUGAGCCCUAGAAGGAAGAGGAUGCUUAUGAAUUACAUGAUUGAAGGAAGCAAUGGCAUCAUGAAGGUGGGUAAAAGAAGCAGAUUUGAAGUUAUUUGUCAAGAAGCGUGCAUCUUCAAGUGUGGAAGUAGAAGAAUGGCAAUAAUUGGUAAAUAAGAAUAGGAAUGGAGAUUGAAUGGUACCAAUUGCCCCUUGUAGCUGAAGAUGGAAGCUCCUGCUCUUCCUCCUCGAAGGCAUCUUCAUCAUCAUGGAUCUCUUGUCAGUUGUUUUUAGGGAUGGAUCGGAGAUUGGGAAUGAGGAAAGGAAAUAGAGAAUCGGAAAAGGAAGGCUCUCUGCCAGCUGGUAAUGUGGUAAGGAUAAUACCUCGUGUACGUUAAAUCAUAUUAUAAUCAAACUAUUUUCUACACCUUCAUUUUGAGAUUUCUAAUAGAUACUCAAGUAUUAUAGGGGUUGUCCACAAUCAACCAUCGGGUGUUUAUUUAUUUUACAAAUUGAUAUCGAUAUUAUACCCAUCAAGAAUGUCAGGAUACUUUCACUAAAAAUUAUUCUUGAUAUUAAUUACACUAUAUUUUAUAUAUAUAAAGUAAAACCAAACUUUUUUCAUAUUGUUUAAAUGAAAGUAAAAUAAAGAUUUUUUAUUGUUUUUAUAGCAAAUCCUUUUAUUAUUGAGAAAAAACUUAAAUUUGAUUCAAAAUUCUAGACUAUCUCUUGCUAGCUGUAUUAGAGUUGUUUAUUUCAUUUUUUUAAUUUCAUAAAUGAUUUUGCUUUUUUAAAAAAAUUAUUAGUUUUUUCCUUUUAUAAAUUAAAUGUAUAAUUUUUUUUCUCAGUAGAAAAGUUAAAUUUUUAUUUUUUUUUAUUUUUUAUUUUGCAAUAUAUAGACAAACAAUCCUAUUUAAUGUAUAUGUUUAAUAAAGGAAUAGCUUAGUUACAUUGAAAAGUGAUAUCUUAAGCAUUAAUUAUACAGUACAAAUUACGUAAUGAUUUUGUGAAUCAUGCUGUAAGCGAAUAUAUAUAUAUAUAUAUGAGUGCAAUUGUGUAGAAAGUGAAUUAAGAAAUUAAUUUGCUUAUUGGUAAAUUGAUAUUUUUAAAUAGGCUUAUGAGCAUUUAAUUUUUAUAUUUUGUCAAAAUUGACCAUUUAAUUUUUUAAUUCUGUCAUUUGGUUAAAAUAAACUUUUAUAUUAUUUAUUUUUUAAUUUUAUAUAUAUAAUUUAAUUUUUUAAAUUAAAGCUAAAAAUAUAUUUACUAAUAUUUUAUUCGAUAAGAAUAUGAAAGAGUUUGAAUUUAUAAAAUUCAAAAUGUUUUAAUUGAGUGAUUUGAAAAUAGAGAUUGAAUAAUUAAUUUUGAUAAAAUAUAAGGAUUUAUUAAUAAUUUAAAUAUAUAAAAAAGAAUUAUUUAAAACUCUCUAAAGUUUCAUAUGAUAACCCCUUACAAGUUUCAGUAGUUCAUCAAACUUGUCAGUAGUGUAAAUAAGUUCGAUUGGCCAUUAAUUUUGGAGUCGAAAUCACUAUCCUGAAACUGUUUAAUCAGUUCUUGUAAUGCUGGAAACUUCAGAUUCUCUACUGAGAUUUAAUAUUUUUUGCUCUCGUCACCCACGUAAAUGGCUACAUAACCUUUUCGAAUUUAUGGGAUUUUAACUUUCAAAUCAGUCGAAUUGGAGAAUAAUUUAUAGGAAAAAGAUUAAGUAAUUGUAUAAUGUUAAUCUAAAAUUUUAGGAAGAAUUUAUUUUCUUGCUAAAAACUCUCUACAAUGAUAUUAUUAUCAAAAUUUUCUAAGUUAAAGGAAAGGUUUGAGUGUGAAGAACUCGAAAGGAAAUUAUAUAGGAGAGAAGAGUAAUUGAGAUUUAAUUUAUAUAUAUGGAUAAGGAGUGGAUUUUUAUGAUAAAAUUUAGAUUUUUAGCAUUAGCUAAAAUUUUUUAGCUGGAUUAAUUUAUUAAUUGGUUUAAAAAAAGUUGCAAAUUAAAACAGUGAAGAAGAAUCUUUAUUAAUUAUCGAAUUAUUUUCAUUUUAAUUUAUUAAUGGUAAUUGCUAAAUAUGGUAAUUAAGUGAUGCUUCAGUUUAUAAUUUUGAGAAUAAAUAAAAUUUCUUUGAUUUUAUGAUUUUAAGUUUCUUAAGAUGGUAGAAUUAGUUUAUAGGUCAGUAGAUUUUUUGUAAGGAGUUUGAAAUGGUUAUAAUAAAAAAAUUAAAUAUUUUAUUUUUUUUAUAUCAACACGAACAUUGUUAAAAAUAACAAAAUUAUUAAAAUUAUUGAAUAAAUUAAUAAAAAUUAAUAAGAUUAGCUAAAAUUAAUCAUGAGUGAAAAUAUUGAAUAACAUAAAAAUUUUGAUUUUUUCUUUUGUUAUUUAAUUUUUUUUAAAGAAAUGAAGAUAACUAUUUUUUAACAAAAGUGGGGCCAUUGAAACUAGAAUUAGCUGCUUCGAUUCAAUUUUUCUUUUCCUUUUUUGUAAAUGUUAUGUAGAUUCCCUUCAUUUUUUUUUUCUUACUAGAAUUUAUUUUCUUUUUGUAGUUUAUUAACUAUCAUACAUUACAAAAUAAUGUUUAAUGGAAAAUUUUAAUUAUAGUUUUAUUAAUAAUGAUGUUUAUAUUAAUUUUAUAUUAUUUAAUUUUAUAUAAUAAGAUAAAUAAUAGAAAAAUAAAAAUAAAAAUACCUUAUAUAUAUAUAUAUAUAUAUUUAUUUAUUGAAAGGUUAAUUUAUGUAAGAGUUUUUUUAUAAUAAAGUUAUAUAUUUAAUUUAAUUAAAAUUAUAUUUUUUUAAAAUAGAAUUUAUAUUUAAAUAAAAAAAAUUCUAACCGAUUAAAUUAAAUAUUUUAUUUUUAAUCAAUUAAAAUAAAGAGUUACUUAUAAUUAUUAAAUUUAACCACCUUUUAUAUUGAAAAUUUCAUUAUUUCCCUUUACUUUCCAUUUAUAUAAAUAUAUAUGUGUAUAUUAUUAAAAAUCAAAUAAUCACAGAUAAAAAAAAUAAGCGAUACACAAAUUUAAUGUGAUUAAUCAAUUUGGCAAGAUCAUGACGAUUAUUUUUUUUUUUAUUUUUCUAUGAAUUUUUGAAUAUAAUACACUAGAAAAAUAUUAUAUUUUUAUAUGUCUAAGAAAAUAUAAAAAAGAUAUAAUAGUUUUAAAAAAUUUACGAUCAUGGAGUAUAAUGUAUAUUUUAUAAUAUAUUAUUAGUUUCCAUAUCUCAACAUAUAUAUAUUUUAUAAAAUAAAAUUUAUAAUAAAUAGAAAAUAAUUUUAACCAAAUAAAUUAAAUAUUUUAGAGAAUAAUUUUUUUUUCAAUAAAUCAAAAUAAAUAGUUAAUUUUACUUUAUGUAUAUAUAUAAUAAGUUUUAGUUUAAAACUAAUAAAUUUAAAACUAAAUAAUUUUAAUUAAAUAAGUAUAUAUAAAAAUUAAUUCACAAACUUGUAAAAACCAAAUUUUUAAAUAUUAACGAUCCCGAUGUCUGCAAGUUUUAAAAGUGUAAUUAAACUAUAUAAAGUUAAAUUUUAAAAAACUAAGAUUGACUUGUGAAAGUAUAUGUAGAGUUUAAACUUAUUUCUCUUAUGAUAUUAAUCUCAACCUAUCACGAGAACACCUAUCUGAUUUGGAGUGAUACACUCUGCUAAUUUCUUCUGGUGCUUCACAUUUCUUGAUUAGUGAUCAUUAAUCUAAUUAAUAUUAAGUAAUCAUAUAGAUUUUACACACUAAUAUUUAAAAAUGUCUCUUUUCUUCUGAAUCCAAGGACCAUACUUACAGAUUCAAGCUCCGGAUUCAAGGCUCUUCUUCUCCAAUACUCUGCAUCGUCAACCAUCAAUAAAAAUAGCGCAGCCAGAAGCUUGACUGCAUUUGCAGUGAAUCUUCGCUCAGCUGAAGACUCUUGAGACUUUGUUCUUCUUCACUGUGUCAUUUUGAGACAAGAAUCAUUUUGUAAGCCAAUUACAAGAAAAGCUAUUUUUGAGGCAUAACUGUACUAAAUAAUCUGCAACUAAAUUUGCUUUUUUGUAAAUUUUAUCCCUGUACUUUAUUGAAAUAUAAGAUUUGGUCCUUAUAUUUUUAAAUUCUACUAUUAAGUCCCUAAAAAUUUUGACAGAAAAAUCAACAAUUCAGUCCCUACCAUCAAAACAAGAGUUAACUUUCUCUUAAAACUAUUAAAAAAUGACCAUAAUGCCUUCUAGUAUAUAUUUUUAUAUUAAAAUAUUAAUUUUUAAUGAUGAUUAGGAUGCUGACGUGAUAUUUCUGUUAAAUCUAACAUCAAAUUUACUGGUAGGUUAUAAAUAAAUUUAGAUAGUUAGUUUAGAGUAUAUUAGUUAAUUUUUAUAAUUUAGAGUAUAUCUGUUAAAAUGCGAAUAGUUCAAAGUUUUUUUUGCCACCAUCCCUUUUGCAAAUUGAUCUUGAAUACUUAUUAUAUAUAAUCUUAUUCAUAAAUAGUUAUAAUAUGUAAGGAUUAAUUUGUAAAAUUAUAGAAAUUAUUUGUCAAUAAUUAAUGUUGGAAAGAAUCCUCUGCCAUGAUUGUAAAUCAAUCAGUGAUCCUCUGUCAUGAUUGUAAAUCAAUCAGUGAUCAAAUCUUACCAUGUUUAGCAUAGCACAAUUCUAGGACAUAAUUGAGGGCACAAUCAAAGGUCUAAUUGUUCAUAUUAUGUACUAUAUAAACUCUGUAACUUACUACACAAGAGGUAAGAAAAUAAAAACAGUUUUCUUCCUAUAAUCUCAAGAUGGUAUCAGAGCGGGUUUGGGUCUAAAAAUAUAGUCAUCCUGCAAUAAUCCUUUACCAGAUACCUUUCCCAACUUCUUUCUCUCACCAAAACAACAAUGGCCGACCUUCCCAGCCCGGUUGACCAAUCCCAGGCAAUAAUUGAUCCAAUAGCAGACCUGUCACAAAAACUAUUCCAGUUAAUUCAGAAUAGCCAAGAUGGAAAUCAGAAAUCAGUGAACCAAUUCACUCUUGAUUCAGCACAGCCACCAUCCGACAUAAAAUUGAAUGAUUCCAAUUAUGUUGUAUGGGCAAAGAUGAUGGAGAUGUUUAUCACGGCGCUACAAGAAGCCGCGAAAGGAGGAGGCACAUGUGUCCCUUAUGAUCGAGAAGGAGGUAUUUUAGGGUUAGAAAGGAGGGCAAAUGACCUUUCUACCCCUGUCUCUUUAAAUAAAUCUAAAUGUGCCUCUGCUUGUUUUAAUUCUUGUAAAAUUAAAUCCCUGGUCUCGGAUGUUUUAGAUAAGUUUGGUUGUAAUCCCAAAACUGAAUCGUUAGCCCCUAAUUCUAUCGGUCAUGCUAACAAGGUACAAAAUACUAAUGGGUGGAUAUUUGAUUCAGGAGCCACAGAUACUAUGACUAAUGAUUCUUCAGAUUUUGUUGUGUCAGCCCCACCCUCAAAAUCCAAUAUUCUAAACGCUACCGGUGGCUCCUUCCCGGUCAUCAGUGGUGGUACCGUUUCUAUAACCCCCACUUUAAAUGUCUCCAACAGCCUCUAUAUACCUUCCUUAUCUUGCAAAUUACUCUCUGUCAGUCAGAUCACCAAACAGUUAAAUUGCAGAGUACUCAUGUAUCCUCAUUUUUGUGUUUUGCAGGAUAUUCAUACGGGCACGGUACUGGGCCGUGGUACUGAGAAAGAUGGACUAUACUAUGUGGAGGAGGUCUCAAAUACUGGGUCAGCUCAUUUAGCUCAAGGGUCCUCAACCCGACAGUUAUGGUUCUGGCACCGGCGCUACGGCCAUCCCUCAAGUGAUUAUCUUCGUACUUUGUUUCAUGAGUUUAAAUCCAUUGACAUUUCAGUUUGUACUUCAUGCGUGCUUGCUAAGAGUCAUAAGAGUACUUAUCAUAUAUCCACAAAUAAAUCUGAUACUCCCUUCUCAAUAAUACACUCUGAUGUAUGGGGGCCUGCCCCGGAAACUGUCUCCCUUGAUUAUAGAUACUUUGUGACUUUUAUUGGUGAUUGCACUCGUGUUACUUGGGUUUACCUGUUAAAACAAAAAAGUGAAGUGGCUGAGACAUUCUGUGAUUUUUUCCGCAUGAUUAAAACCCAAUUUUACAGGACCAUUCAAGUCCUCCGAUCUGACAAUGGGGGGGAAUUUGUCAAUAACCAUCUCCAAACCUUUUUCUGGGAUAAUGGGAUCCUUCACCAAACUACUUGUCCUUAUACACCACAGCAAAAUGGGGUUGCUGAAAGGAAAAAUCGACAUAGCCUUGAGACUGCCAGAGCCCUAUUGUUUGAAGCCCAAGUUCCUCCUAAGUUUUGGUCUGAAGCAGUUGCCACAUCCAUUUACCUCAUCAAUCGACUUCCGUCUCGCGUCCUUAAUUUCCAAUCUCCCUUGCAUACCUUGUCCUCUCAUCACACCAUCCCUUCCCAUCUCAACCUUCCACCUAAAAUCUUUGGCUGCACAGUUUAUGUUCACAUUCCUAAAACACACCGCACUAAACUUGAUCUAUGUGCUCUUAAGUGUGUUUUCUUUGGUUAUGGUGUCCAUAAAAAGGGCUAUCGGUGUUUUGACCCAAUCUCUAAACGGCUCUUCACUACCAUGGACUGCACUUUUCUGGAAGAGGAAUAUUUUUUUCCCUCGCCAACUAGCAGUGAGGGGGAGACAACGGCACAAUCACCACCACUGCCAAAUUGGCUUAGUCAAGAGGGGCCAUAACUUGAUCAUUCUUCUCUUCCUGAGUCUAUACCAGAACUGGGAGACACCAGUCAUUCUUCCCUUCCUGAGUCUACACCAGAACUGGGAGACACUAACCAUCUAGUACAGUCCUUGGAAUCAACAUCACAACCAGAACCUGGCACCGUAGAAUAUCCUGAGGAACACACAACUGAGGUAUGUGAAUCUGAACUUUCUCCUGUUCCUAAUAACCUCACCACUGAACCCAUUUCCCUUGAGGUUCUUGAAACAGGCCAAUAUGUUCUACCCCCUCGGAAUAAUAGAGGAAUUCCACCCAGGAGAUAUGAUCCAGAAUUCGAGGCAGCCAGGUCCAGAUACACUGGCAAACGUUACCAGAGGAGAAAGACUAUCACCUCAGUUGGUCAACUACAGAAAAACAUUUGCUCAGAAUGGAUACCAAAGGAUGCCACAGAGGCCCAAAAGGACAAAAGAUGGGUUGAGGCAAUGGAGAUCGAGAUGGAUGCCCUGGAGAAAAACAAGACCUGGGAAAAAUGCUGGCUACCCAAGGGAAAACAACCAGUGGGAUGCAAAUGGGUGUUUACCAUAAAGUAUAAGUCAGACGGAACGGUGGACAGAUAUAAAGCUAGACUUGUAGCAAAAGGAUAUACUCAGACUUAUGGAGUUGACUAUUCUGAAACAUUCUCUCCAGUAGCAAAAAUUGACACAAUACGGGUCCUAUUCUCUCUAGCUGCAAACCUAGACUGGCCACUUCACCAAUUUGAUGUGAAAAAUGCUUUCUUGCAUGGUGAUCUAGAAGAGGAAGUAUACAUGGAUGCUCCACCAGGGUUCAUGAGUGGAUAUAGAAGGGGAGAAGUGUGUUGAUUGAGGCGAGCCUUGUAUGGGUUGAAACAGUCACCCAGAGUAUGGUUUGGGAGAUUUACUCAAGUAAUGAAGAAAAAUGGAUAUCGGCAGAGUAACUCCGAUCACACUCUAUUCUUGAAGAGGCAAGGAAGGAAGAUCACGUGUUUGAUUAUAUACGUGGAUGACAUGAUUAUAACUGGAGACGAUGUGGACGAAACCAAACAACUGAGGGACAACUUAUUCCAAGAAUUUGAGAUGAAAGACCUAGGGAUUCUAAAAUAUUUUCUUGGAAUCAAAGUUCUCAGAUCAGACCAGGGAAUUUUGAUAUCACAGAGAAAGUACAUUCUUGAUCUGUUAAUUGAAACAGGAAUGAUAGAUUGCAAACCAGUCGAUACUCCGGUAAUGGUCAAUCAUGAGUUAAGUAAGGACUCAAAAGAAGGACCCACAGACAGGGGGAGGUACCAGAGACUGGUAGGAAAACUGAUUUAUUUAUCACACACCAGAUCAGACGUGGCAUAUGCUGUGAGUUUGGUAAGUUAGUUCAUGCAUGAUCCAAAACAAGACAAUAUGGAGGCAGCAUUGAGAAUCGUUUGAUAUCUGAAAGGAACAGCUGGGAUGGGCAUGUUGUUCAAAAAGAAUGGUCAUUUCAAUAUCAGUGGAUAUACGGACGCAAGUUGGGCAGGAGAUCUCUCCGACAGACGAUCUACUUCAGGAUACUUUACCUUUGUCGGAGGAAAUUUGGUAACGUGGAAAAGUAAGAAACAAAAGGUGGUGGCACUGUCAAGUGCUGAAGCAGAAUUCAGGGGAAUAGCAAAAGGACUGGUAGAACUCCUAUGGAUCAGAAAGUUGAUGUUUGAGCUUGGAUUCCCAUCAAAGGAUGCAGCUGAACUCCAUUGUGACAACAAGGCGGCAAUAAGCAUUUCUGAAAAUCCAGUUCAGCAUGAUCGAACAAAAUAUGUUGAAAUAGACUGACAUUUCAUCAAAGAAAAGUUGGACAGUGGUCUGAUAUCUUUACCGUUUGUUCGAUCAGAGGAUCAAUGGGCGGACAUCCUAACCAAAGCAGUAGCUGGACGAAUAUUCCAUGAGGUUUUGGGCAAGUUGGGUAUGCUAGAUCCACAUGAACCAACUUGAGGGAGAGUGUUGGAAAGAAUCAUCUGUCAUGAUUGUAAAUCAAUCAGUGAUCAAAUCUUACCAUGUUUAGCAUAGCACGAUUCUAGGACAUAAUUGAGGGCACAAUCAAAGGUCUAAUUGUUCAUAUUAUGUACUAUAUAAACUCUGUAACUUACUACACAAGAGGUAAGAAAAUAAAAACAGUUUUCUUCAUAUAAUCUCAAGAAUUAAAAUAUUCAGAAUUAAUUUGUAAAAUAGAAGGAGUUAUUUGUAAAUAAGUAUAUUAUUAGGAUCAACUUGUAAAAUUGUAGGUACUUAUUUAUAAAGAGUAAAAACUUUGUGAUUAAAUUUAUAAUAAUAUUAGGAUAAAUUAAAAAAUAUAAAAUUUAAAUUAGAAGACUAAACUAUAAAUCUAAUUAAACGUAUGAAAUUUUAUUGUUUUAGAUGAAAAUAUAUUUUAGAGGGUAUUAUGAUAUUUUUUAAUAGAUUCAAAAGUCUUAAAAGUUUAAAAGGAAUCGUAUUGUAAAGAUAAGAAUCAAUAUAACGUCUUAAUUUGUAUCGAUAAUGCAGUGAUUUUACCAUUUGCAAUUUUUAAUAAAAAUCUGUUGGUAAAUAAAUUAUCUAAUUCAUUGUUAAAAAGUUCGAUGGUAAAUUUUUAUUAAUAACUUUUAAGUCCGUUAAUAAUACUAAUGGAUUUAUUAAUAGAGUUUUGAUUAUUAUUAAUAACAGAUUUUAAAUCUGUUAAGAGAAAAAUAAUUUACUAAUAAACGUGAAAUCCGUUAAGAAAUUACCAACGUAUUGUAAUUCUUAGUCAAUUUAUUGAGUUUAAAUAAUUUUUUAUUAAUUUAAUAAGACUUAAAAUUAUAUUAUUAUUGUUACUAAGUUUUUAAUUUAUACCCAAUGUGUAUUAGAAAUACAUAGAAAGUGAAAAUAAGAGAAAAGUAAAUGGUAUAAAAUGAGAGAAAAUAAUAAAAGAGAAAGAAAAAAGAGAAAAAUAAAGAAAAUGAUAGAAAAAUAAAAAUUAUGAAAAAGAAAGAAGAAUGAGAGUAGGGUAAAAAGAUGAUUAGAGAAACAGAAAAAAAAGUGAACAAAUGAUUGGAGAAGAAAAUAAAUAAAGAGAAAAAAUAUAGAUGGAAAGAAAAUGAUAAAAGAAAUAAUACUAGAAAAACUAAUAUGAAUGAAAAUUAUAAAGAAAAUAAGAAAAUAAUGAGAAAAUGAAAGAAAAAUAUGGAAAAGAAAAUGAAGAAAAUGAAAGAAAAAUUAUGAAGAAUGAAUGAAAAUAAUAGAAGAUGAAAGAGAACGAUAGAAAGUAGGAUAAGAGAUGAAAAAAAAGAAAAAAUAGAAACAAUAAGAAAAAAAAAACUUAUAAGAUAAAAAAGUGAAAUAAAAAAAAAUAGAAAAUGAAAGAAAAUGAGAGAAGGGGAAAAUCUGGAAGAAAGUAAAAUGAUAAAAUGAAUGAAUGAUAAAAAUAUAAAAGUUGGUGUUAUAUUUAUAAAUGCGAAUUACUAAUGAAUUUGUAAUUUAUUAUUAAAUUAAAAAAAUAACUUUUUUCUCUCCAAAAAAUUAUCAAUAGAUUUCAAAUUUAUUAGUAAACCCGUUAAUAACCGAAAAAUAUAAAUCGUAAAAAAAAAAGUGAAAAUUUAUGCAGAUUUUAUUUUAAAUUUACCAAUUGAUAUAUUAGCGAAUAGCAUCCAUCCAUAAAUUCAACAAUUUUUUUUAUGUAUUAAUUUAAUGAUAAAAUUUAAUAAUAGAUUUUUAAAUUCGUUAGUAAUUUUUUAGGCAAAUUACUAAUAUAUUUAGAGUUCGUAAGUAAUUUAAACACUUUUUAAAAUUUACUUAGGAUGUAAACAAACUGAGCAUAACCUAGUUUUGAAGAGUUCAAGUUUGGUUUGUUAAAAAUUUUUCAAACUCGAGCCGAACUCAAGGUUUAAUCAUUUCGAACUCAAGUCGAGUAUUAAUAAUGUCAAGCUUACUCAUUUAGCAAAUAAACUUAGAUGAGUCGAGUUUUUAUCGAAUUUAAUCUUGAAUAAUUCACGAAUAGUUAAAUUUAUUUACAUAUAUAAUGAAUUUUAUUUUAUGAUCAAAUAUAAUUUAGUCACAUUUUUAUUAUCUUUAUUACUAUUUAAUUACACAUUUUUUCAGCUUAAUUUAUGUUUUUAUAGUGUUUUUGCGGAAAAUGGAGAAAAUGGAAAGUUAGAGAAAAAGUGCAGAAAAAACUGGGAAAUUGAUUGGGUCAGAGUGAUUUGGCCAAAUCACCCGCAGGAAACCAAAACAGAAGGCUAAAGGCAGAAACCUGGAAGUAAUUCACAGAAAUGAUUUGGGCAAGUGAUUUGCCCAAAUCACACUAACGCUAGAGAGACCAAUAACGCGGGAAAGAAGAGCAGAAAAUCAAAAUUCAAAAGUGGAGAAGUCCAAUCCUACUUCAAACACUACAAAGUCAAUUCCAAGAGCCACGAGAAGGUCUUUCACUCAAGAAAUUCCAUUCACAAUUAAAUACAAAAUCAAAAGAGAAAUCAAAGACUACAAAAGACCAAGUCAAAAUUAGGAUUUUCAAACCCUAAUUGGACUAGGAUUCUCCAUCUAUAAAAGGGACAGCAUCAAAAACAGCUAGGGAGAUCUCUCCACAGUCGGAAUUUCUGCAAAAACUCGGCAGAAGCACAACAGCCUCCUCUCUUUUCUUUCUUCUUUCUUUUUUGUGAUUUUGUCCACCAUGAGUGGCUAAACACCUUCUUUUCUAGUUGAAGUUGGGAAAUUUCAGAUUUGUGAUGAAUUGAGAGAUUUAAAACUCUAUUAUUAAACUCUUAUUUAUUUUCAAUAUUUAUGCAACUUGAUCUUUCUAUUAUUAUUGCUUUGCUUUUAGAAUCAAUUAAGGUCUAUUACUUUUAAUUGCAUGAGUAAUAUAUUGUUUGAAUGAUUUAGGUCCGUAAUUACUUAGAUUGUUUAAACUCAAGUAUAAUCGGUUGCAUAAUCUAAACUUGACCACGCGGUUGGCAAGGUUAGAAUUAGAUUUCUCUAAAUCUUAAGGCAGUUAACAGUUGAAAAGUAAAAAAAUCCCAAAAACGUUUAUUGGCAACUUGUUAACUAGUGUUUAAUUAGCAAACAUUUCCUAAUCAUACUAAAACUAAGGAGAAAUUUGGAUUGUGAGAAACGUCUUCCACAUCUUAAACUAAUUUAUUGAAAUAAAUAGGGGUAUCAAAAAGAUCAAUGAUCAAUUCUAAAUAAGUUGAAAUAGAUCCAUACUUCAAUUAGAAUCCUUCUCCCAUUGAUUUACUCAUUUAUUUAAUUACUGCUUUCUUUUACUCAAUUGUAAUUCUUCAAAACAAAAUGCCGCCUUUUAUUUACUUUUAUUAUUUAUUUGUCCAAGUCAUUAUUAGGAAAAUUCGUAUUGUCAAAUCCAUGUGGUUUGACCCUAUUGUCACUAUCUACAAAUUAUUUUAUUGAUUGAAAAUAGGUUUAUUUUUUACGGUUUCGACAACCGCUAUCACUUUAAAACUAAUAAAUUUAAAACUAAAUAAUUUUAGUUAAAUAAAUAUAUAUAUAUAAAUUAGCUCCUAAAUUUAUAAAGAUAAGAUCUUAAAUUUUAACCUCUAAAUAUAUGCAAGUUUUAAUAGUGUAAUUAAAGUAUAUAGAGCUGAAUUUUAAAAAAUUUAAAUUUGGUUUAUGAAAGUAUAUGUAGGGUUUAAAAUUAUUUUUAUUAUGAUAUUAAUCUCAGUCUGUUUAACGAGACUACUCACAAGUUGUUCGUGAGCCUGUUCAUGAACUCGAAAAUGAACUGACAUCUUGAGUCUUAACGAGCCGAAUAUUAUGAAAUUUAAACUUGACUCAUUUACUAAAUAAAUUUAAAAAUUAAAUUUGAGCUUGCAUCAUAUAGAAAUAAAGUCAAAAUCGAUCAAGUUUUUAUCGAGUUGAAUCUCGAAUAACUCAUAAAUGGUUUAAUUCAUUUACACCCCUAAAUUUAUUAACAGAUUCAAAUUAUCAAUAAAUUACCAAAGAAUUUAUUAACAGAUUUUAAAUCUGAUAGGAAAUUUCAACACCAAUUAUUUUAUAAAUUUAUAAAGUUUUACAGAAUUUUUAAAUCCGUUAAUAUUAAUUUCAAAUUCGUGGUGAAUAAUAAUUUAUAAAGUUUUAAAGAAUUUUUAAAUCCGUUAAUAUUAAUUUCAAAAUUGUGGUGAACUUUUACAUGAUUUGUUGGUGAAUUUUUACAUAAUUUUUUUAUAUUAAGAAUUAAGAUGAAUUUUUAAAUUUAUUAAUAAAUUCAUUAAAUUUACUAAUGAAUUAAAGCACUAAUAAAAUCUGUUGGUAAUACGAAAAUAUAAAAAUUUCUUGUAGUGAAAAUUGUCCGGACAAAAUAUCUAUAAGUGGAUUGUGUGGUGCUGUGCUCUUCAUUAUCGGUAGAUCUACGAGGAGCUGAGAUUAUUGCAUAUAUAUAUAUAUAAUGUAUUCGAUUAUUUUUAUAUUUAAUAUUAUUUUAUUAAUUUUAUAAAUUAAAUUAUUCAUAUAACUUAAACAUAAUUAUUUUCCUUUUAAUUAUUAAACAAUUAUUAACAAUAUUAAAAAAUAAUCAUAUAUUCUAAUUAAUUAUUAAAAAUUUCUAACAAUAUAUAAUUAAAUAAUUUAAUUAAUUAAUUUUAGUGUAUUCUACCUAAGUAGAUUAUAUAUGUGUGUGUAUUUUUUUAUAUCAACCAUAAAUGUAUUAAUUAUUUUGUAGUUUUUAAUUAUAUAAAUAAAUUACGUAUUAAUAAUAUAAUAUAUUUUUAUAUAUUAAUUAUAUCUAUUUUUUAAUGAAAAUUAUAUAAUUAAUAACUACAUAAAAUAAUAAAAUAUUCUUAUCCAGAGUUAUAUAUAAUAUAUAUUAUAUUACUACAGUUAUUAUUAUUAUUAUUAUUAUUUAAUAUUAAUUAUUUAUUAUUUUAAAAUAAACGUAAAAGGCUAUUACGAUUUUAUUUGUAAAAAUUAAAAUUUAAAAUGAAACAAAAUUAAAAUUAAAAUAAUAAAAAAAAUUGAAAUCAAAUUGAGACUACUGAAAUUACUUAGAACUAUACUAAAUUUCAAUUCUAAAUAUGAUUCUACAUAAAUUUAAUUUGGUUCUGUUUCUUAGCAAAAACUAUAGCUUUUCCUUUUAGCAUGUUGCCUUUUAUGAACUUGUUCAUAAAUAAAUUUGGACAAAAAGUCCUGUUAAAUAGCUGAAGCUAAACUAGCAUUUUAAUCGCUAGUAGGACCAAUUGCAGUUGCUUAUCUCAGUGGCUGCAUGUCUGAUUUUCAUCCUCUUCUUUUGCUUAUAAUUUCUAAACCAAUCAGCAAGUAUCUCUAACAUGCCCAAAAGCUUUCCAAAAGUCUCAAAAUCUAUAUGAAACUCUUUCCUCCACUCCCAACUUUCUAACUUCCUAACUUUUCUUUUAAGAAUGAGGAGGCUGAACAUAUAAUUAUACUAAAAACAAACUCAUAUCUUUAAUGAUGCUUUAAAACACCAAGUUUAUCCCAUAGUUUCUUCAAUCUUCUAAAGUAAACAACAACUGAUAUAGAUUCUUGACUGAAACUACUUAUUUCUUUCUUUAAUUGGUGUAUAAGUUGCCCAAAUCUUUCUUUAAAGCAAGUGUCAUAGUCACAGACAUACUCCAAGUCGAAUAAUUUACUAAAUUUAAAGGUGCAGAUAGAUAUGAGAAUCCUACUUGGAUUAUCUGAGUUUUAAAGAGUAGAAGGAUCUGAAUCAUUUUGCAAUUGGUUUCCUACCUCUCAAUAUGUACCCUGUCAGCCCCACCUUCUCUAACAAACCAUUUUCCAUGGAUGCAGUCACAAAAACUUCAAGAAUGAUGCAUCUUGCAAAAAGAAAAAUACCGUGUACAAACAAGAGCCCAAAGAAAAUUUUAUUGAGUAUAUUACAAGGUUUAGAAAGUGGUAAAAACAUAAGAUGUCUCAUUAUAUACUGCUGAAAGGAGAAAAGAAACAACCAAAACAUCUUUUCUUGCCUAACUUAACUAACAUCUCAAACAGUAAGAAACAAUGCGUUUCACAUUCAUAACACCACACAAAUGUAUCGCAAAAUGCACCAUAUAAAUAACUCAAAUGGUGGUCCAACACUAAAAUAUAUCCGUUAUAUACCAUAUUGACAAAGAGGAUGUUUGCUUUUCCCUCAAUUCCCAUAACAUUUUCUGUUGUCUAUAAUUUUAGUGACUUUUCAUCCAACCAACAGCUGUAGAAGUCUAGUGAUUUUCUUACCUUGUAUUCUGGGACUGUAUAUCCUGCGCCCUGCAUUUAUAGUGUAGUAUAAUUGUUAAAUCAAUUCUCAAUUAAAGCACACCGGUUUAUAAUCAUUAGUUUCAUUAUAAUUAAAAAUUAUAAUAACAAAGCAAAAAUGAAUUGCUUAUACCUUUAUGGUUAGAAAGGUGAAGUUGUAGUCAUAUCCUUGCAAGUACCUACAAGAGAAAUGAUAGCAUUUUGAAAGGUCAUUGAGCACAAAAAUAAAAAUAGAUAAAGAUUCUUAGGCAUUGUAGUAUGGAACUAAUUAGUUUUAGUUCUCAACUCAAUGUUAGGACUGAGCUCUCGAGUUAAGGCUGUAGUAGCAGCAAAAAAAAAAAAUUGUAAUGGAGAUGGUGGGUUUACCAGCAACGUGAUGAUUAGAAAUCCAUGACCUCCAUUCAUCAACAAUCUUAUAUCAAAGAGAUCUAGUCCAUGUCAGAAUUCAAGCGAAAGGCACACACAUAUCAUGGUUUUCACCACAGGUCAUUUGCAGUGUUAGAAAUUUUCGUUUUGUGGAAGAGAAUCACAGCUGAUUGAAAUUAAAAAUGAUAUUUGAAGAAGUUAGUUAAAUUACAUAU